rnacentral:tRNA from 1 species
UCCCUGAUAGCUCAGUUAGUACAGAAUCUGCCUACAAUGCAGGAGACCCCGGUUUGAUUCCUGGUCAGGAAG